rnacentral:lncRNA from 1 species
UCUUCUGUUGGGUUGGCGGUGGCGGAUCGAAGGUGGAGGCAGGGGAGGCUUCGGUUCGGACCGGAACCUGCUGCUGCAGCGGCGCCGGAUUUGGGGAAUGAACGGCUGCCAUCUGGUGAUGAACCGGAGCCGGUGCCGGAGUGGAGAUCUUGGCUGAGUUAGAUCGGGCGUCGAGAGAGGCCGUGUGGAGGGUAGCGUUGUGGUACCAGAUGCGGAAGUGGAUGGACAUGGCCUUGGAGGAGGGGAUGAUGGAGUACCUGCUGC